UUCCAUGAGAUCUAAAACUUUAUAGUUCAUUUUUUUUUCAUUUGAGAUUGUUUAGAUGCCAAAAUUUUUUAUUUAAGUUCUCGGACCUGUGAAAGGGCCUAUAGCCUAACGAUUACAGCACCUGAGUGGCAUCUAGCAGACUUAGUUCGACUCCCUAUGGCAGCAAAUUAAACAAGUGUGGAAUAGAAAGUUAUAUAAAAAUUGGUUGUAGACUUCCCGGUUCGCCCUCAGUAAAAAAAAUGCUCUCAGACCUAAUAAAC
rnacentral:lncRNA from 1 species